rnacentral:rRNA from 1 species
GCGGACGGGUGAGUAAUGCCUGGGAAUAUGCCUUGAUGUGGGGGAUAACCAUUGGAAACGAUGGCUAAUACCGCAUAAUCUCUACGGAGCAAAGAGGGGGACCUUCGGGCCUCUCGCGUCAAGAUUAGCCCAGGUGGGAUUAGCUAGUUGGUGAGGUAAAGGCUCACCAAGGCGACGAUCCCUAGCUGGUCUGAGAGGAUGAUCAGCCACACUGGAACUGAGACACGGUCCAGACUCCUACGGGAGGCAGCAGUGGGGAAUAUUGCACAAUGGGCGCAAGCCUGAUGCAGCCAUGCCGCGUGUGUGAAGAAGGCCUUCGGGUUGUAAAGCACUUUCAGUCGUGAGGAAGGUGGUGUAGUUAAUAGCUGCAUUAUUUGACGUUAGCGACAGAAGAAGCACCGGCUAACUCCGUGCCAGCAGCCGCGGUAAUACGGAGGGUGCGAGCGUUAAUCGGAAUUACUGGGCGUAAAGCGCAUGCAGGUGGUUAGUUAAGUCAGAUG